CCAGCACAUACCGCGUGUAGUGUAAGAAGGUCCUUCGGAUUGUAAGCACUUUUGGUUGGGAGGAAGGGCAGCUGGUUAAUACCUUGCUGUUUUGACGUUUCCCACAGAAUAAGCACCGGCUAAAUUUGUGCCAGCAGCCGCGGUAAUACCAAGGGUGCAAGCGUUAAUCGGAAUUACUGGGCGUAAAGCGCGCGUAGGUGGUUUGUUAAGUUGGAUGUGAAAGCCCCGGGCUCAACCUGGGAACUGCAUCGGAUACUGGGCAGCUAGAGUACGGAAGAGGGUGGUGGAAUUUCCGGUGUAGCGGUGAAAUGCGUAGAUAUCGGAAGGAACACCAGUGGCGAAGGCGACUACCUGGACUGAUACUGACACUGAGGUGCGAAAGCGUGGGGAGCAACAGGAUUAGAUACCCUGGUAGUCCACGCCCUAACGAUGUGUACUGGACGUUGGAUGCCUUUAGAUUCUCAUGACGCAACUUAAGGAGUAAAUUGACCGCCCGGGGGAAGAACGCUCGCAGGAUUGAAACUUCAAUGGAAUUUGAACGGGGGCCCGCAAAAGCCGGUGGAAGCAUGUUGGUUAAAUUUCGGAUGCAACGCGAAAACUUAACAUGGUCUUUGACUUGCACGAGGAACUUGUUCUGAGAAUGAGAUGGUGGCCUUCGGGGACUCUGACACAGUGCUGCAUGGUUUUUUAUGGAUCAACAAGAAU
rnacentral:rRNA from 1 species